GGGACUCGCCGGAUCUUUGUUUUGUGUUUGGUGGAGCUCUGAAACCGAGAGUGGUUUUCCAGUGGCAUCGAGGUUGUUUUUGGCCGAAAUUGUUAUGUCAUGAAGGCCAAGCCACGUACUCCUGUUUGUAUUUAUUUGUUGUUGGAAAUUUCAUUGAUAUUCUGCCCUACAUUUGGCUCUUGCCUUGAUGGCAUUUCACACUGUAGUAAGGUUGGAAGAUAUAUUAUGGCAUCCUAUUAUGAAAAACACGAAAGCUUUAUUGAUUCGCUUUUUGAUGAUUUCCUAACUCAAGAUCUUCCCAUCAACAUAUGUGAAGUACUGCCAUGCGAUCUAAGUACUGUGCUAAGUCUUUCAAUUCUGUCGAGGAUCAAGGGUGAAGGUUCUCAUCGUCAACUUUCAUCAACCAUCAAGUUCAACAUUGAAAAAUCCGUGUCUCAGGUUCCCACACACCACUGUAAGUUUAUCAUCAUUGAACGGCUGGUAUCAGGAGUUUUUGCUGACCCAUUUGAAUUGGAACAUCUUGUUCAUCGAGCUGUAUUUAGUGAUGUAGCUGUAUUUGGAGACACAAAUUUGGAAUUG
rnacentral:misc_RNA from 1 species